CCUCUCUCAAUCUCCCUCUUUUUCAAUCUCCCUCUCCCGAUCUCAACCCUCUCUCUCGAUCUCCCUCUCCCGAUCUCAACCCUUUUUCUUGAUCUCAAUCCAAAGAACUUAGCGAUGUGUGUGGAUCUCGUUUCUCUUUGGUAGCUACUCGUUUGGGCAAUUUUGUGCUUUCCUUUACAAAAAUCGAGUUCCAUCAGCGAAACGUUGGAAAUGCAGUUGAAGUGAGUGGAUUUAGAAGAUUUCGGCGCUUGAUUUGAACGUUUUUGCUCAAGGUUUGAAGUUUUUAAAGAUAUGAUAGAUACAG